rnacentral:rRNA from 1 species
GACGAACGCUGGCGGCGUGCUUAACACAUGCAAGUCGAACGAUGAAGCCGGAGCUUGCUCUGGUGAAUUAGUGGCGAACGGGUGAGUAACACGUGAGUAACCUGCCCUUGACUCUGGGAUAACUGCGGGAAACUGUAGCUAAUACCGGAUACGACCCUCGGAGGCAUCUCCUGGGGGUGGAAAGAAUUUCGGUCAAGGAUGGACUCGCGGCCUAUCAGCUAGUUGGUGAGGUAAAGGCUCACCAAGGCGACGACGGGUAGCCGGCCUGAGAGGGUGACCGGCCACACUGGGACUGAGACACGGCCCAGACUCCGACGGGAGGCAGCAGUGGAGAAUAUUGCACAAUGGGCGCAAGCCUGAUGCAGCAACGCCGCGUGAGGGAUGACGGCCUUCGGGUUGUAAACCUCUUUUAGCAGGGAAGAAGCGAAAGUGACGGUACCUGCAGAAAAAGCACCGGCUAACUACGUGCCAGCCGCCACAGUAA